rnacentral:rRNA from 1 species
AUUGAACGCUGGCGGCAUGCUUUACACAUGCAAGUCGAACGGUAACAGGGUGCUUGCACCGCUGACGAGUGGCGAACGGGUGAGUAAUGCGUCGGAACGUGCCGAGUAGUGGGGGAUGACGCAUCGAAAGGUGUGCUAAUACCGCAUACGUACUGAGGUAGAAAGUGGGGGACCUUCGGGCCUCACGCUAUUCGAGCGGCCGACGUCUGAUUAGCUAGUUGGUGAGGUAAAGGCUCACCAAGGCGACGAUCAGUAGCGGGUCUGAGAGGAUGAUCCGCCACACUGGGACUGAGACACGGCCCAGACUCCUACGGGAGGCAGCAGUGGGGAAUUUUGGACAAUGGGCGCAAGCCUGAUCCAGCCAUGCCGCGUGUCUGAAGAAGGCCUUCGGGUUGUAAGGGACUUUUGUCCGGGAGCAAAUACCCAGUGCUAAUAACGCUGGGGGCUGAGAGUACCGGAAGAAUAAGCACCGGCUAACUACGUGCCAGCCGCCGCGGUAAGAC